rnacentral:rRNA from 1 species
UACGAAGGGGGCUAGCGUUGUUCGGAUUUACUGGGCGUAAAGCGCUCGUAGGCGGCCUGUUAAGUCAGGGGUGAAAUCCCGGAGCUCAACUCCGGAACUGCCUUUGAUACUGGCAAUCUUGAGGCUGGAAGAGGUUAGUGGAAUUCCCAGUGUAGAGGUGAAAUUCGUAGAUAUUGGGAAGAACACCAGUGGCGAAGGCGGCUAACUGGUCCAGAUCUGACGCUGAGGUGCGAAAGCGUGGGGAGCAAACAGG